rnacentral:rRNA from 1 species
CCCUUAGAUGUUCUGGGCCGCACACGCGCUACACUGAAGGAGGCAGCGUGUACUCCUGGAUCGAAAGAUUUGGGUAACCCGCGAAUCUCCUUCGUGCUAGGGAUUGAGGUUUGCAAUUAUCCUUCAUGAACGAGGAAUUCCCAGUAAGUGCAAGUCAUAAGCUUGCGCUGACUACGGCCCUGCCCUUUGUACACACCGCCCGUCGCUACUACCGAUUGAAUGAUUUAGUGAGGACUUCGGACUGGGACCGAUGCGGCUUUCGGGCUGCGUCGGUAUUCUGGAAAGAUGUCCAAACUGUAUCAUUUAGAGGAAGUAAAAGUCGUAACA